rnacentral:rRNA from 1 species
CGCGAUUGGAUGAACCUAGGUGGGAUUAGCUAGUUGGUGAGGUAAUGGCUCACCAAGGCGACGAUCCCUAGCUGUUCUGAGAGGAUGAUCAGCCACACUGGGACUGUGACACGGCCCAGACUCCUACGGGAGGCAGCAGUGGGGAAUAUUGCACAAUGGGGGAAACCCUGAUGCAGCCAUGCCGCGUGUGUGAAGAAGGCCUUCGGGUUGUAAAGCACCUUCAGUAGGGAGGAAAGGGUAAGUCCUAAUACGACUUAUCUGUGACGUUACCUACAGAAGAAGGACCGGCUAACUCCGUGCCAGCAGCCGCGGUAAUACGGAGGGUCCGAGCGUUAAUCGGAAUUACUGGGCGUAAAGCGUGCGCAGGCGGUUUGUUAAGCGAGAUGUGAAAGCCCUGGGCUCAACCUAGGAAUAGCAUUUCGAACUGGCGAACUAGAGUCUUGUAGAGGGGGGUAGAAUUCCAGGUGUAGCGGUGAAAUGCGUAGAGAUCUGGAGGAAUACCGGUGGCGAAGGCGGCCCCCUGGACAAAGACUGACGCUCAUGCACGAAAGCGUGGGGAGCAAACAGGAUUAGAUACCCUGGUAGUCCACGCCGUAACGAUGUCUACUCGGAGUUUGGUGCCUU